rnacentral:rRNA from 1 species
CCAAUAGCGUAUUUUAAAGUUGUUGCAGUUAAAAAGCUCGUAGUUGAAUUUCGGGGUCAGCAAGUUGGUCGUGCCACCGGUAUGUACUGGCUUUGCUGAUUCCUCCUUCUUGUAGAACCGUAAUGCCAUUAAUUUGGUGUUGCGGGAAAACAGGACUGUUACUUUGAAAAAAUUAGAGUGUUUAAAGCAGGCUAACGCUUGAAUACAUUAGCAUGGAAUAAUGAAAUAGGACGACGAUCCUAUUUUGUUGGUUUCUAGGAUUGACGUAAUGAUUAAUAGGGAUAGUUGGGGGCAUUAGUAUUCAAUUGUCAGAGGUGAAAUUCUUGGAUUUAUUGAAGACUGACUACUGCGAAAGCAUUUGCCAAGGAUGUUUUCAUUAAUCAAGAACGAAAGUUAGGGGAUCGAAGACGAUCAGAUACCGUCGUAGUCUUAACCAUAAACUAUGCCGACUAGGGAUCGGAUGAUGCUAAUUUUAUAAUGACUCAUUCGGCGCCUUACG